rnacentral:rRNA from 1 species
UACGUAGGUGGCAAGCGUUGUCCGGAAUUAUUGGGCGUAAAGCGCGCGCAGGCGGUUCCUUAAGUCUGAUGUGAAAGCCCCCGGCUCAACCGGGGAGGGUCAUUGGAAACUGGGGAACUUGAGUACUGAAGAGGAAAGCGGAAUUCCACGUGUAGCGGUGAAAUGCGUAGAGAUGUGGAGGAACACCAGUGGCGAAGGCGGCUUUCUGGUCAGUAACUGACGCUGAGGCGCGAAAGCGCGGGGAGCAAACAGG